GCCCGCCUAGCUCAAUCGGAUAGAGCGUCAGACUCUUAUGGCGGGUGCAUGGUCGCACCACGACCCAAAUCUGAAGGCUGCGAGUUCGACCCUCGCGGUGGGCU